UCCCUCUUAGCUCAGUGGUAGAGCGCGUCACUAGUACUGUCAUUGCAUUGGUAUGACGAGGUCAGUCGUUCAAGUCGGCUAGAGGGAA